AGCGACAGGCUUAACACAUGCAGGUCGGGGGGCAGCAUGAUUUGUAGCAAUACAGAUUGAUGGCGACCGGCGCACGGGUGAGUAACGCGUAUGCAACUUACCUAUCAGAGGGGGAUAGCCCGGCGAAAGUCGGAUUAAUACCCCAUAAAACAGGGGUCCCGCAUGGGAAUAUUUGUUAAAGAUUCAUCGCUGAUAGAUAGGCAUGCGUUCCAUUAGGCAGUUGGCGGGGUAACGGCCCACCAAACCGACGAUGGAUAGGGGUUCUGAGAGGAAGGUCCCCCACAUUGGUACUGAGACACGGACCAAACUCCUACGGGAGGCAGCAGUGAGGAAUAUUGGUCAAUGGCCGAGAGGCUGAACCAGCCAAGUCGCGUGAAGGAAGAAGGAUCUAUGGUUUGUUAACUUCUUUUAUAGGGGAAUAAAGUGGAGGACGUGUCCUUUUUUGUAUGUACCCUAUGAAUAAGCAUCGGCUAACUCCGUGCCAGCAGCCGCGGUAAUACGGAGGAUGCGAGCGUUAUCCGGAUUUAUUGGGUUUAAAGGGUGCGUAGGUGGUGAUUUAAGUCAGCGGUGAAAGUUUGUGGCUCAACCAUAAAAUUGCCGUUGAAACUGGGUUACUUGAGUGUGUUUGAGGUAGGCGGAAUGCGUGGUGUAGCGGUGAAAUGCAUAGAUAUCACGCAGAACUCCGAUUGCGAAGGCAGCUUACUAAACCAUAACUGACACUGAAGCACGAAAGCGUGGGGAUCAAACAGGAUUAGAUACCCUGGUAGUCCACGCAGUAAACGAUGAUUACUAGGAGUUUGCGAUACAAUGUAAGCUCUACAGCGAAAGCGUUAAGUAAUCCACCUGGGGAGUACGCCGGCAACGGUGAAACUCAAAGGAAUUGACGGGGGCCCGCACAAGCGGAGGAACAUGUGGUUUAAUUCGAUGAUACGCGAGGAACCUUACCCGGGUUUGAACGUAGUCUGACCGGAGUGGAAACACUCUUUCUAGCAAUAGCAGAUUACGAGGUGCUGCAUGGUUGUCGUCAGCUCGUGCCGUGAGGUGUCGGCUUAAGUGCCAUAACGAGCGCAACCCUUAUCACUAGUUACUAACAGGUGAAGCUGAGGACUCUGGUGAGACUGCCAGCGUAAGCUGUGAGGAAGGUGGGGAUGACGUCAAAUCAGCACGGCCCUUACAUCCGGGGCGACACACGUGUUACAAUGGCAUGGACAAAGGGCAGCUACCUGGUGACAGGAUGCUAAUCUCCAAACCAUGUCUCAGUUCGGAUCGGAGUCUGCAACUCGACUCCGUGAAGCUGGAUUCGCUAGUAAUCGCGCAUCAGCCAUGGCGCGGUGAAUACGUUCCCGGGCCUUGUACACACCGCCCGUCAAGCCAUGGGAGCCGGGGGUACCUGAAGUCCGUAACCGCAAGGAUCGGCCUAGGGUAAAACUGGUGACUGGGGCUAAGUCAUAACAA
rnacentral:rRNA from 1 species